UUCGCAAUGCCCGAAAGGGUGACGAAGCGACGCCGCGUGCGGGAAGAAGGCCUUCGGGUUGUAAACCGCUGUCGGGAGUUAAGAAGUGCAAGAAUGUUAAUAGCGUUUUUGCUUGACUAAGGCUCCGGAGGAAGCCACGGCUAACUCUGUGCCAGCAGCCGCGGUAAUACAGAGGCGGCAAGCGUUGUUCGGAAUUAUUGGGCGUAAAGAGCACGUAGGCGGCCGUGUAAGUCGGUUGUGAAAGCCUUCCGCUCAACGGAAGGACGGCAUCCGAUACUGCAUGGCUCGAGUGCGGGAGGGGAGAGUGGAACUUCUGGUGGAGCGGUGAAAUGCGUAGAUAUCAGAAGGAACACCGGCGGCGAAGGCGACUCUCUGGUCCGUAACUGACGCUGAGUGUGCGGAAGCUAGGGGAGCAAACGGGAUUAGAUACCCCGGUAGUCCUAGCCGUAAACGAUGGGCACUAAGUAGAGGGGUU
rnacentral:rRNA from 1 species